CAAUGUAAGUUAAUAGGGUAAUUGUCCAGCUUGUGUUUACAUUCACAAAAGUGCUUGUUUUGCUACUGACAGACUCAGAUUAAUAUGCUAAGUCUCAGACAACAUUGUGGAAAGGACCCCUUCAGAGAGAGAUC